GAAAUGCGAUAACUAGUGUGAAUUGCAGAAUUCCGUGAAUCAUCGAGUCUUUGAACGCACAUUGCGCCCCCUGGUAUUCCGGGGGGCAUGCCCGUCCGAGCGUCAUUGCUGCCCAUCAAGCACGGCGUGUGUGUUGGGUCGUCGUCCCCUCUCCGGGGGGGACGGGCCCCAAAGGCAGCGGCGGCACCGCGUCCGAUCCUCGAGCGUAUGGGGCUUUGUCACCCGCUCUGUAGGCCCGGCCGGCGCUUGCCGAACGCAAAUCAAUCUUUUUCCAGGUUGACCUCGGAUCAGGUAGGGAUACCCGCUGAACUUAAGC
rnacentral:misc_RNA from 1 species